rnacentral:rRNA from 1 species
CAUGGCUAGUCGUGCGAGUUCAUAGUCGCAGCUGAUAGGUCCUGGACACCUGGCUAACUACCCUACAGAGACGCAUAACCUCGGGAAACUGAGGCUAAUUCGUCAUACCCCUCUCACGCUGGAAUGCCAAGAGGCACAAACGCUCCCGCGCUGUAGGAUGUGGCUGCGGCCGAUUAGGUAGACGGUGGGGUAACGGCCCACCGUGCCCAUAAUCGGUACGGGUUGUGAGAGCAAGAGCCCGGAGACGGAAUCUGAGACAAGAUUCCGGGCCCUACGGGGCGCAGCAGGCGCGAAACCUUUACACUGCACGCACGUGCGAUAAGGGGACUCCGAGUGCGAGGGCAUAUCGUCCUCGCUUUUGUGUACCGUAGGGCGGUACACGAACAAGAGCUGGGCAAGACCGGUGCCAGCCGCCGCGGUAAUACCGGCAGCUCAAGUGAUGGCCGAUCUUAUUGGGCCUAAAGCGUCCGUAGCUGGCCUCGAAAGUCCGUCGGGAAAUCCACACGCCCAACGUGUGGGCGUCCGGCGGAAACUCCGAGGCUUGGGACCGGAAGGCUCGAGGGGUACGUCCGGGGUAGGAGUGAAAUCCCGUAAUCCCGGACGGACCACCGAUGGCGAAAGCACCUCGAGAAAACGGAUCCGACAGUGAGGGACGAAAGCUAGGGUCUCGAACCGGAUUAGAUACCCGGGUAGUCCUAGC